AGAAAAAGGUUUAACUGGACUUACAGUUCCACGUGGCUGGAAUAUCUUAUGUGGAUGGUGGCAGGCAAAAAGAGUUUCUGCAGGAAAACUCCCCCUUAAAAUAACCAUCAGAUCUCAUGAGACUUACAAGAACAGCACAAGAAAGACCUGCCCCCAAGAUUCAAUUACCUCCCACCAGAUACUUCCCACAACACAUGAGAAUUCAAGAUGAGAUUUGGGUGGGAACACAGCCAAAUCAUAUCAAUGCCUCUAUAAAUCCACCAGGAACACUUCUAGAAAUUGUUAAACACCUCCACGGCUCCACAGAACCCUCCUCUACUCAUAUCUUCAUGGCAAGGAGCUACCAUGGAUCCCCCUCUGAGUGUGCCCAAGCCAAUUACAGGACUAGCAACAAUGGAAGGCAACUGAGAGGCACAGAGCAAGAGCUGCCCUCCCACCAAAGCCACCACCACAGAAAGAACUCAUUCUUCAUAAGGAGACUGGAGCUAGUGUUAAGGGGAUAGACAGUAGCUGCCAAAAACCUGGCUAAAGUCCACAACAUCCCAGCCCCUCAUCUCAGACUCACACAGGUGCUCUCUACACCAUCACACUGUUUAUUUCUUAAAGAGAACUCUGCACACACUAAGAGUCACUUGCUUAUCUGUUUGUCUCUCCUUUCCAGAAUAGGAAUUCAAUGAGGUCAGGGGUUUUGUGUGUCUAUUCACUGCAGAAUCGCAGAGCUUCUUCCACACUAGAUACUGAACACCUAUUUGUUGAAUGAAUGAAUGAAUGUGUCCCCAGAUGGUUCUCUUUAAAUGAAAAUUAUCCAACCGACCAUAUUUUUAUAAGUUUAAAGAUGCAAUCAUCUUACUUCAUUACAUCUCCAUUAAGACAGUUUGAUAUUUUGGUUACAGGUGUAUGACUGGGAGUUCAAUUCUUUUCUGUGAUAAGCAUGAAUUAUUCAAAUUACCACUCAAUAUUCACUUUACAGAUAUAUGAAGCUUGUCCACUCAUGUUCAAAGGUUUUCGUUAAUUCCUCUUUUAUCUAAAUCAGUCAAGUCUCUUCUCCCAAAUGAGAAAUAUUAAAUAAGUGGGAGCUCUCAAGAAAUAAAAAAUGACUACCAGAAAAAGCUUCUGUGAAUAAGCUUUUUCUCAGUGUCUAAAAUAACAAACACAAUUUAUGGACCAAGACUAGGUGCCAUGAGUUUCACAAACUGGGCCCCCAUCCACUGUUACGAGUACCAUUAUCCCAGUGGCAGGGACACACAGGAAGCCAAGGCUCAGAGGCAGUAAGUCACAGGUCGAGGGCCUCUUGCCGAUGACAAAACAGGAAUCUGAAUUCAGGUCAGGCUUACAUUUACACAUACAUGUACACAUAUACAUCUUAGAUAAACUAAAAUACAGUAAUCUGGUGGUAGAACAAAUUAUUUCUAAUAAAUGUUAUAAAAUAUAAACACCUCUCUGAAUCCUUUAGAAAAUUAAUUUUGAAGUACAAAAAGGAAAGAGAUAAAACUUAAGUAUGAACAAAGUUAUAGGACACUGCAAACGUUUGGUAAUAAUAUACUGUCUUUAAAAAUCAUUUCUCCUUAUGGUGGCACUAAGCCACAUCGUUUAUAAUGUGAAGAGCGGUUGAUAUCUUUUCUACCCAUAAGCAUGACCAUCACUUACUCAAAUUUUCUGCAUCCAGGUCCAUGAAAAGCCAGUAAAUACAUUUUUUAAGAAAAAA